rnacentral:rRNA from 1 species
UACGAAGGGGGCUAGCGUUGCUCGGAAUCACUGGGCGUAAAGCGCACGUAGGCGGAUUGCUAAGUCAGGGGUGAAAUCCUGGAGCUCAACUCCAGAACUGCCUUUGAUACUGGCGACCUUGAGUCCGGGAGAGGUGAGUGGAACUGCGAGUGUAGAGGUGAAAUUCGUAGAUAUUCGCAAGAACACCAGUGGCGAAGGCGGCUCACUGGCCCGGUACUGACGCUGAGGUGCGAAAAGCGUGGGGAGCAA